GGAGGGGGCUAGCGUUGUUCGGAAUUACUGGGCGUAAAGUGCACGUAGGCGGCUUUGUAAGUCAGAGGUGAAAGCCUGGAGCUCAACUCCAGAACUGCCUUUGAGACUGCAUCGCUUGAAUCCAGGAGAGGUCAGUGGAAUUCCGAGUGUAGAGGUGAAAUUCGUAGAUAUUCGGAAGAACACCAGUGGCGAAGGCGGCUGACUGGACUGGUAUUGACGCUGAGGUGCGAAAGCGUGGGGGGAGCAAACAGGAUUAGAUACCCUGGUAGUCCACGCCGUAAACGAUGAUAACUAGCUGUCCGGGCACUUGGUGCUUGGGUGGCGCAGCUAACGCAUUAAGUUAUCCGCCUGGGGAGUACGGCCGCAAGGUUA
rnacentral:rRNA from 1 species